GUAAUUUAAAAGAAGCUGCUAACUUUUUGAUAGAAUGUU
rnacentral:tRNA from 1 species